GGAAAGGGCAGAUCUGCCAAAGUGUGGGUAAGUGGACCUUGGUGUAAGCAAGUUAGGUAGCAAGUGUUGUUGCUGUGUUUGUUCCUGCAAGUGGCUGUGUGUUUAUGCUGAAGGCAGGGGUGGAGUGGUGAGGGAAAUGGCACCUGCCAGCUCCUUUGUUCCUGGAGGGGUCUUCCUGCUCUUCCUGCCUCUCAGGGAGUGCUCUGAGGCUUCUUCUGACACUGCUUUGGCAGGGGAAGGUGGGAGGUGCUACAUCGCUACUGCCAUGUGGAAGUGAAAGUCCAAGUUCCUCUCUUGGCCUUCUCGUCUACCACCCCAGUGGGGAGAGGUAGGAGUGCCUUGUUACUGCUGGGUGGGAUCCCCAUGUGGCCUCUACUGACAUCUGGGAUGGGAAAGGGCUCACUGGAUGGAUAUUAAAAUCCUGGCUCCCCACUCUUUCUUCUUUGACAACACAGGUUGGGAGAUGAGGUAAGAGUACCUUAUCACAGGUAAGCAAGGAUGGAAGUCUAAAUUCCCCACUCAGCCUUUACUGAUGGGAGUUUUUUCCAUGGUUCCCCCU
rnacentral:lncRNA from 1 species